UGUCCCAUGGCUUAGUGGUUACGGCAUCUGACUGUUAUUCGGGGGAUCGGUGGUUCGGUCCCACCUGGGGCAG
rnacentral:tRNA from 3 species